GUACUACAAUAUCACGUAUUGGUUUUGUACUGUUACCAUACGGUUACUCCGUAUGCUGCCAUCUCGUGGCGGCACACUAAUAGUACAGUAGCGGUAUUUUGUGCAGGAAUCGCACGCUUGGUUAUCUGGGUCCCGAGAGGAGAAAACAUACCCGGGAGAGAGAGUUCAUAACCUAAUCCUUGCAAAGUGUCACUUUAGCAGUGCAGUGGUCUCACAAAUAUACUCGUUUGGAUAGUAAAUAAUUAGUUUACAUGAACAGACCGUAAUAAUUGUGCAAGUGUAAAAGGUAACAUAGACUUUAUAUAUUGUUGAUAGCAAUAGUAAAGAAAUCCAAGAUAUUUAACAGUAUGUAUAUGGAGUAAAAAGCACACCACCCGGAAACAGGAGUACAAGAUAUAACUUACAAGGAGACAUCCUGCACUACAAUGAUGCAGGUGUCAGCAGGUCAUUUGAAUUGUAUUUAGGUUUACCGCAACUUCAAGUAUAUUAACACAAAUGCAGCCAUGCAGAGAAAGUCACAUAUUUUACACUAUUAGAGAUGACCGGAAAGAACUCCAAGAUGAUGAAAGGCUCCGUAAGAUCACCAGAAGCAUCUGAGGGGUCUCAGGGAUUCCAGCGCAUCAACAAUUCCAAGAUAACCAGGAAAACAGCUUCAGCAUCUCAACGAAAACCCACUCCGUCCCAGAUUAGAAUGUUUAAAAGCAUCAAUUCAGGAAUUUGACAUUUCAUCACAGCACUUGUAAUAAUUCCCAGCGAAACGCUCAAUAGAUGACUGUCAUGUUUCACUCACAGGAAGAUCACUCGACUAUUUUGAACUUCCAUUUAUGCAUCCAUUAGUUAUUAUAGAUGCUUCACAGUUUUAGAUUAUAGGGAAGAUGUAAAAUGCCGAGACGCGGUUACAGCACAUGUGCAUUUCUUAACACUGUUCUUAGACGGAAUUUAUCACAGCACUAUAAAAUUUAUCUAGAUCGGACGUAUAUAAGAUGAUUAUGAUAUUUCACACAACGGGAAGACCACCAAGUUAUUUGAACUUCCGGCACCUUAUUUAUGCACCAGUUAGUUGUUAUAAAUGCAUCAUAGGUGAUUAUAAUUACAGGUAAUAUCACAUAAGGCCACCAAGCUAUCUUUCUCCUACAAACUUCGUUUAUUUGAGGAUAUAAUACAACACAGAUAUAUUGAGGAAAAAGGUGUAGAACGCAAAAGCGCAGUUACAAACACAAAGGCGUUCCUUGACACUGUUUUAAGGAGAAAGACCGUCAGCUAUCUUUUCAUCUGCGCGCACCUCGUUUAUAGGAGAUUCAUUACAUCACAAAUGUUAGCAGAUUGGGAAGACGAGGCAUGGGGCGCCAGAAUAUGGUUGCACAUCCAAGUAUAAAUCCUACGCUAUUCUAGGAUGAAGAAACAGUGUUUGUUCACACAUAAUCAGAUGACAAAGGUAGUUAAUUCAAACUACCCCUACUAAUAACUCAUCCAAUAAGGUCAAGGAUAAGGAGCAAACUGUUACUAAUUACUUUCGGUGAAGAUAUAAAUACUAUCCGACUUCAACGCAACAGUACCAAAAUACUAUAUUGCUUGACAGAGUCAGAAUCAAGCUCCCAAGAUAGAUUAGGGGCAAUGCAAACUUUUUUAACAAUUAUAACAAUCAGCUACACGCAUAUUAUAAGAUGCAUAAUUAAACAACUGGAUCGUAGCACAGAAGAAGCAGCAAACAUGAACAGUUCAUCCACUAUUAUUAACACUAGAUAUUUAAGAUUUAAUAUCUUUCUGACAGUGUCUCAACCAAUUUAGUUUAGCCUAAUUUAAUUAAAACUAAUUAAUGUAGUAAUAAUAAUAAUGUAUU